CCCUUAGAUGUUCUGGGCCGCACGCGUGCUACACUGAGUGGAUCAGCGGGUCAGGUUGCGCGAAAGUGUUUCCUAAUCUUGAAAUCCGCUCGUGAUGGGGAUUGACGGUUGCAAUUUUCCGUCAUGAACGAGGAAUACCUUGUAAGCGCGAGUCAUCAGCUCGCGUUGAUUACGUCCCUGCCCUUUGUACACACCGCCCGUCGCUCCUACCGAUUGAAUGGUCCGGUGAAAUCUUCGGAUUGCUGACCAAGAUCCAGCAAUGGAGCUUGGUUGCGAGAAGUUGAUUAAACCUUAUUAUUUAGAGGAAGGAGAAGUCGUAACA
rnacentral:rRNA from 1 species